rfam:Oryza nivara chromosome 2, whole genome shotgun sequence.
UUUAAGUGCAAUUAUGAGUUUCCGCACCCAACUUUGAUUGCCCGUCUUAUUUAAAUUUUUUUAUAAUUACUAUAUUUGUUGUUAUGAGAUGAUAAAAUAUGAAUAAUACUUUACUCGUGACUUAUGUUUUUAAACAGGACGGACGAUCAAAGUUUGGACAUGGAAAAAAAUGGCUGCACUUAAA